UUAUUUUGGCAGAUUAGUGCGAUGAAUUUAGAAUUCAUAAAUGAAUUUUAUUUCAAAUAAUA
rnacentral:tRNA from 1 species